rnacentral:rRNA from 1 species
GGUUGAUCCUGCCAGUACUAUAUGCUUGUCUCAAAGAUUAAGCCAUGCAUGUCCAAGUAUAAGCACUCUUAUACAGCGAAACUGCGUACAGCUCAUUACAUCAGUUAUCAUGUCUUUGCAAAUGGAUUUUUACAUGGAUACCCGUAGAAAAUCUAGAGCUAAUACAUGCGUCCAGUGGUUUGUUUUGCGACAAAUCAUGUGUUUAUUAGAUAUGAACCAAUCCCGUGGCAACACGGUUGUAUGGUGAUUCCUAGUAACCGAUCGGAUCUCCCCUAACACGGGAGACAGUGCAU